UCCAAGCGUUGUYYGGAUUUAUUGGGCGUAAAGAGCUCGUAGGCGGUUUAGUAAGUCGGGUGUUAAAACUCUGGGCUCAACCCGGAGAGGCCAUCCGAUACUGCUGUGACUUAGGUUCAGAAGGGGAGCUGGAAUUCCUAGUKURGCGGUGAAAUGCGAGGAUAUUAGAAGGAACACCGGUGGCAAAGGCGCUGCUCUGGACUGAAACUGACGCUGAGGAGCGAAAGCAUGGGUAGCAGACAGGAUUAGAUACCCUGGUAGUCCAUGCCGUAAACGGUAGGCACUACGUGUGGGUUCCCACUAACGGCMUCCGUGCCGUAGCUAACGCAUUAAGUGCCCCGCCUGGGGAGUACGGCCGCAAGACUAAAACUCAAAGGAAUUGACGGGGGCCCGCACAAGCAGCGGAGCRUGUUGCUUAA
rnacentral:rRNA from 1 species